AAUUGAGUUUUAACUUUUUAUUUGGGGUAAUUUACUAAAAAAAUCCUUUUUUUUCGUUAAUUACGGAAAUGGUCUGACUUUUUUAUUAUUUACGGGAAAGGACCAUUUUUUUCGAAAGCACGUCCAUGUCAGCGCGAAGUCAGUGUCCAUGGCAGCAAAACGCGUCCCUGGGGGAGCGUUUUGUUCAUGUCAGCACAAAACGCUUCCUUGAGGGUACACUUUGUGUUAACGUGGACAAAACGCUCCCCCAGGGACGCGUUUUGCCCCGCUGCAACCGUCAUGUGACCGUUUGAACCCCAACGGUCAAAAAAAUAUAUAAAAGGCCCCUCCCUCCUUUUAUUUUUUCACACAAUAGUCCUCUCACAACAAUUCUCUCUAAAUUCUUUCCAGAUUCCUCAAAUUUCUCUCAAUUUUUGUCAAAGUUGUUUCUAAUUUUGCAAAAAAAUUGUGUUUAAUUUUUUUUUGAAUUAGUUUUAUUUUUUAAAUUACAAAAAUAUUCGAUCGUGUUAGCAAUGGUCGGUUCAUUAAUUCGUCUCGAUAAUAAACACAUCUCCGUCAAUCAAAUGACAAUGUAUGUAGAUCGGGUGUUGCAAUGCUAUAUUCGUAAUAUGUCUAGUCCUCUAUCGUCGUUGAUAGAGAAUUACCUGCGGGAAGCGGGUUUUUGGCACGUGGCCACGAUAGGCCGAGGGUGUAAGUUGGACCCGAAAUUAAUCAGUGCAUUGAUAGAGAGGUGGAGACCCGAGACGCACGCUUUUCAUCUUCCAUGCGGAGAGUGUACUAUCACUCUAGAAGACGUGCAAUUGCAAUUGAGAUUGCCGGUGGAUGGGUACGCAGUCACCGGGUCCGCAUCAUCUACUGAUUGGGAAGCCGUAUGCUACGAGCUUUUGGGUGCUAUACCGGAUACUAUUAACGGAGGUCAGAUCGAAAUGGGCUGGUUACGAGACACAUUCUUAGAGCCGGAUAAUGAUUCGAUUGAACUCAGAAGAAUACGAUAUGCUCGAGCAUACAUUCUUGAGUUGAUUAGAGGUUAUCUGAUGCCAGACUUGUCACGAAACCGCGUACAUCUGAGAUAGCUGCUGAAACUCGUUGAUUUUAGAGCAACGGGUGAAUUAAGUUGGGGGUCUGCCGUGUUAACAACAUUGUACCGGGAGAUAUGCAGGGCAACGCGACAGAAUAAAGCCAAAAUCGGAGGAUGCCUAUCACUACUGUAAUCAUGGGUGGAACCAUUCGGCGAGUUAUAUUGGAAUACCCACAUCUCUUGAAGAUAUACGGUUUCUAUUAGACCAACGGUUAGAAGCACAAUCUUAUGGCAGGUUGGAAUGCAUGGCCCGGUUCAUCUCUAUUCCCAAUUACUCCAAGUCAACCGCCGAUCAAUAGGCCACUGUCGCAUGAGGGAUUGCACGAGGCUCCGUCGGAGAGCUCUUCUUUUUACCAUUCUCCAUCACCUUAUGGGAUUCAAACACCUUCACCAUGAAUGAUACAAACACCUCCGCACUCAUUAUUUUGUCAAGGUGGGUCAUCCUUCCAACACCCACAACUAAAUCCCCAGCCGGAGCAACCACAAUCCCCACCGGAGCAACCACAACCCUCGCCGGAAGCUGAACCAAAGAGGAAUCCAACGCGUAACCGUCGACGAACCCCAUGUGGCAAUCGAUUUGAUUGACACCAACAUUGA